CUGAACUAGAAAUGGAGCCAUAGCGUAACUUCUCUGCAACUGUCUUCUAUGAGCCUUAUCUCACGGGGGCGUCGCAUCCAACUCUAACUGUUCUCACAGAGGGAAACCCUCUACAACUGGAUUGCUCAGCUGUAGGAAACCCCAGGCCCACAUACACUUGGGCGGUCCCAUCAGGUGUGUCCCCCACCAAGAGCAGCGUUCUCAUUAUCAACUCUACAACUACCGAGGAUAAAGGGCAGUACACCUGCUUUGUCAGCAACAACCAGGGGAACGUCACUGUGAAGUUUGACGUGGAAGUUAAACGUGACUACACCAAACACUACAUAGCUGCAGCAAUAGUAGGUGCUACUGUGAUUAUCUUCCUGGCGGUAAUUAUAUACUUCAAAUGCUACAAAAACACACGAAUGGGACAGUACAACCUGAAGGACGUUUUGCGUUUGCGCAGACAGCACUCCGCUGUGCCCACUGCAUUGUGAGUCUGCUGGAAGGCGUGAAAUGUGUAUGAAGACUUUUGAGCUGUUGCUUCAUCACAAGCUGCAGCUAAGGGUCGCGCCCUGUGGGUCAGGAGCUAAGACGUCAACCACAAACCACAACAUCCUCCGUUUGUUUCUCACUUGUGCUUCUCGCUCCCUCAUCUCUCUACUGAUGCUUUCUGUUUACAUGAAACAGCCAAAACACUUUAUGUAUUAAAAUAGUUACUCACAUGCAGUAAGAACUCUUAACACCUAAAUACUGUUAGUGAAACCUGUUUAGUUUAGCACAGCUGUAUUAAGACUAACUCCGGCUGCUGUAGAGAUCACCAGGAGUUUCUCAAUUAAAAGACAUUCCUGCAUAUCAUGUGGCUAAACUACGGCUUGAGGCAUGGGGUCUUCAGGCUGUCUGAGGGUCUGGAGCCCUGCCUGCUUUGCCUGGUUGGUGAUCUAACGUUAAGUAGGAUCAGCUUGUUGUUCGGAUGUAUCUUUCAUUUGAGCUGAAAGAGAAAGAACACGUGACUAUGAAAUAGUCAACAUUUCCAUCGGCAUUCUGGAGCUGAUGGACAACCUUGUGUUUGGUAAAUACAAACAGGGUCUCUUGUUUUUAUUUUUCUGUUUUUUGUUGCUAUUAUUGUCAUAUCUUCAUCUAUGUCACUUCCCCUGUUUGCAUUUCUUGAGCUGUCACCUCACUGGUUUCAGAACAUGUUGUCAGAGGACUGCAGUUGAAAAAUAGCUUGUAAAUACACACAAAUGUGAUUAGAAAAUGUGACCUGUCCGUACAUCGACACGCCGAGCCUGUUCAGAAUGAGACACCGGGUCAGCAGUGAGACCUGUGGUAGCCGUGAAGUGUGGAGUCUUAAAUCCGGUUAGUUUUACUAGUUGAAGUGAUUUAGUAACAGACUGACAUCCGGAGGGGGGGUCGUUACACAGACAUCUGUGACCCGGCAGAUUCUCUGCCGCUCAAAGAGCUAGCAGGAUCUGGUGAGGAAAC